CCCCUCUGCAAGACCGAGCCACCUACGACCUCUCUGCAAGACCGAGCCACCCACCCCCUCCGUGAGACCGAGCCACCCACGCACUACAAGAAAUCUGAUCUUUACCUACCAAUAUUUUACCUACUAAUAUAUAUUGGUAGGUAAAGGAAACUUUUACCAACCAAUAUUUAUUCCUAAGAUUUAUUGGUAGGUAAAUAUUGCCAAUAUUAUAACAUUUUGGAAGGAUGAUUAUUUACUAAUAAUAUGGGUAAGUAAAGAGUGUUACCCUACACAUAUAUUGGAGGGAAAUUUUUUUUUCAUUUGGCGCCUAUGUUUCCCUCUUAUCAUUUUAACUUUUUAUUAAAAAUGAUGCUGAGUUGUGUGAUGAUGUGUUAAAAAUAUCCUACAUGUCAUCUUACUUAUUUUUAACAAUUUAUAUUAUUUUUAACAAAUGGUACACAUCUUAAAAACAAAUAUUACACAAACAAAAAUUAAAAUUAAAUUAAUUCUAUAAAAACAAAAUCAUUAUAAUAUAUUUUUUCUCAUUUAACUCUUUCACAAAAAAAAAAAACCCUUUAGUCUGUCCCUAUUAGAAAACCGGUGGAACACAACCCAGUUCAAAACUCAAACCCAUUUCAGUACACCAAUCAACCACAAAAUCGAUAGACCCAUACACAAUCAGCCACAAAAUCAGGAUCUACAAUCAACCAUUAUUAUGAAACCCAUGCACAAACCAUAAACAAUUUUAUGCAAUUUUCUGAAGACAAGUACAGGAAAAUCAAGUUCUGCUGCCUUCAAUCCGAGACCGCCGAGCCUUAUUUGCGCCUCUCCGGUCUUGAUCGAGACAAUGUUCUUCAUCGAUUUCUCUUCGUCGAGGGUCCUGGUGUGUUCCACCAAGGCUCCGCGGCUGCGCUCAGAGUGGCCUCCUACUUGCCAUUCCCGUACUCUGCUUUGAGCGUUUUUGGGGUUGUUCCGACUCCGAUCAGAGAUUCCGUGUAUGAUUAUGUUGCGAAACACCGCUAUGACUGGUUCGGGAAGGAGAACGAUUGUUUGGUUCUGCAAGAGAAGGAAAUGCUCGAUUGAUUCAUCGACAGAGAAGAAAUCAUGGGUCGGGAAGUAUCAGAUUCGUAGUGAGUUCUCAGAACCAAAUCGGCUUUGUCUUCUUCUCUCAUGUGACUCACUCUUUUGAUCUUAAGGGAACGCAAAAAAAGAAAAGAAAGAAAAACGACUCCAGCUCUUCCUUGGUGACACAAUCUUGAUUAAGGUUUGGUUUAUUCCUUUUUCUUUUCUCUCAAUGUUUUUGAAUUUCAUUUUAGCUAGAAUUACAUUUUUAUGCUUUAUGGGUUGUAAGGGUUUUGGGGUUUUUGAGUUGGUUAGCCAAGCUCGACAGUGAUCUUUUUCUAGAAAGAUUUUGGUAAAUUGCUUAUAAGCUGCUUGUUGAAAUGUCUCGUAGAAAUUAUUUUGAGGUAAUUUUUGGUUAUAUAUGAUUUGUCUUUUUAUUUUUGCAUUUUUUUAUUUGAUUUGAUUCUUUAUAUUUGUUUGCAAGUUAUGUUUUCUAAAUUUUUUUGUAUAAGUUUCAGAUAUGAUUUUAUUUUAGUUUUGCUUGAUUUUGAAUGUGUAAAUAUGAGCAUGAUUGAAUUCUUGGUUUGCUUUGAGAUUUUUGAAAGGGUGAGAUUGAUGUAUAUUUUUAUGAUACUCUACUUAAUAGUUUAUCAUUUGUUUGUAAUCUGAAUUCUUUUGAGGUAAUUUUUGGUUAUAUAUAAUUUGUCUUUUUAUUUUUGCAUUUUUUUAUUUGAUUUUAUUCUUUAUAUUUGUUUGGAUGAUUUUGUAUGGAGUGUGUACUUGGACGUGAUUUGGUAUACUUGCGAGGGUGGGGGCGGUCUCCUAGUGUCACAACUUCUACUUCACAUCGUGAAAAUAUUGUGGGUAAUCAACCAACUUAUGAAGAGUUAGUUGAACGACUUAAUGAUACAACUUCCCGCCUUAAUGCUACUAACGAACAACUUAGUGUGGUUGUGGAUAUACUUCGUCAUAACAAUUUGAUGGCAUCGCCUCCACCACCACCUUCAACAUACCAAGCUUCAGAUGCAAAUUUAAGAGAGUCGCCAUCUUUUUUAAUUCGGGAGUCACAAGAUGAUUUUUAGUUUAUUUACAUUAAUGUACUAAGGAAUGAACUUUAUGAAGUUUUUUUUUUUUGGUAGGGGUAACCUUAAAAGGAUAACUUUAUGACUUAUUUUAGUAUUGAACAUGAUAAAGAAUUUUAGCAU